UACGUAGGGGGCAAGCGUUAUCCGGAUUUACUGGGUGUAAAGGGAGCGUAGACGGCAGGGCAAGUCUGGAGUGAAAGCCCGGGGCCCAACCCCGGGACUGCUUUGGAAACUGCCAUGCUAGAGUGCUGGAGAGGUAAGCGGAAUUCCUAGUGUAGCGGUGGAAUGCGUAGAUAUUAGGAGGAACACCAGAGGCGAAGGCGGCUAACUGGACUGUAACUGACGCUGAGGCACGAAAGUGUGGGGAGCAAACAGG
rnacentral:rRNA from 1 species